AUGGCCUGGACUUCUGUUUGGAUCACACUUCUGGCUCACUGCACAGGGGCCAUUUCCCAGGCUGUUGUGAUUCAGGAAUCUUCACUCACCACAUCUCCUGGAGGGACAGUCACACUCACCUGUGGCUCCAGUACUGGGGCUGUUACCACCAGUAACUUUGUCAAGUGGGUCCAAGAAAAAUCUUACCGGGUACACAGUGGUCUAAUAGGUGAUACCAGCAACAGAAUCCCAGGUGUUCCUGCCCGAUUCUCAGGUUCCCUGCUUGGAGACAAGGCUGCCCUCACCAUCACAGGGGCACAGCCUGAGGAUGAGGCUGUGUAUUAUUGUGCUCUAUGGUACAGUGACCAUUAUGUUUUCGGCGGAGGAACCAAGCUCACCGUCCUAGGUCAGCCAAAGUCCACUCCCACAGUCACAGUGUUUCCACCUUCCUCUGAGGAGCUCAAGACAAACCAAGCCACAGUGGUGUGUCUGAUUAACGACUUCUACCCGGGCAGUUUAACCGUGACCUGGAAGGCAAAUGAUGUACCUAUCACCCAGGGUGUGCACACUACAAAUCCUUCCAAACACAACGACAAGUACAUGGCCAACAGCAUCCUCACUUUGACAGCAGACCAGUGGAAAUCUCACAAUCGCUUGUCCUGCCAAGUUACACAUGAAGGGAACGUUGUAGAAAAGAGUGUGUCCCCUGCAGACUGUUUCUAGGAGCCCAGCCUUUCCUUAGCCUAGGGGACCCAGAAUGGGGUCUCUUCUCUAUGCUAGCAAUCUCAUCCUUUCUCUUUUACCCACUGAAUAUUCAAUAAAAUAUCAUUGAUCAGAA